UCUCCGUUGGUGAAUCAGCGGAGGGAUCAUUACCGAGUUUUCUACUCCCAAACCCCUGUGAACUUAUACCUUUACCGUUGCUUCGGCGGGUUAACGCCCCGAAAAGGCCCCCGAAAGGGAGCCGCCCCGGAACCAGGCGCCCGCCGGGGGACCCAAACUCUUGUAUUUUCUUACCUAGCAUGUCUGAGUGGAAUCAUAAACAAAUGAAUCAAAACUUUCAACAACGGAUCUCUUGGUUCUG
rnacentral:misc_RNA from 1 species